rnacentral:rRNA from 1 species
UACGUAGGGUCCGAGCGUUGUCCGGAAUUACUGGGCGUAAAGCGUGCGCAGGCGGUUUUGUAAGUCUGUCGUGAAAGCCCCGGGCUCAACCUGGGAAUUGCGAUGGAGACUGCAAGGCUUGAAUCUGGCAGAGGGGGGGUAGAAUUCCACGUGUAGCAGUGAAAUGCGUAGAGAUGUGGAGGAACACCGAUGGCGAAGGCAGCCCCCUGGGUCAAGAUUGACGCUCAUGCACGAAAGCGUGGGGAGCAAACAGG